GCCGAGGGGGGACUGUCAGGAGAGGUAUUGCAGGAUGUCUCUACAUCAAGGCAUCGCUGCAAUACCCUUAAAGCGUCUGAAAGCGAUCACGAUUGCUUCCAGCGCUAUUUGCAACGGACGUACUAAGUACGUUCCCGGUACUUAAGGACAGUUUUUUGGACUCCUUAGGGAGUUAAAAUACCUUUAUUUAAAUUUCCUGUGAUGUCUACUGUAUAUAAAUAUAUUAUCUUAUGUCACAAUUUUGUCUUCCAUAACGCUAUUAAACUUAGAAGACAAAGAUAUCAAAUUCUAAAAUUGUUCCAAAUUUAAAUUGUAUUCAACCUCUUGUAUUGUGUGACCUGUAACUGCCAAAAAUAAACUGAAAUUUAAGACAAGUGAUGUAC